rnacentral:tRNA from 1 species
GCAUCGGUGGUUCAGUGGUAGAAUGCUCGCCUGCCACGCGGGCGGCCAUCCCGGCCGAUGCA